GAUGAACGCUGGCGGCAGGCCUAACACAUGCACGUCGAGCGAGCGGCGGACGGGUGAGUAAUGGCUGGGAAACUGCCUGAAGGAGGGGGAUAAAUACUGGAAACGGUAGCUAAUACCGCAUAACAUAAGAUGAUCACAGAUGGGCUUAUCUAGUAGGUGGGGUAACGGCUAACCUAGGAGACGAUCCCUAGCUGGUCUCAGAGGAUGACACGCCACACUGGAACUGAGAGACGGUCCAGACUCCUACGGGAGGCAGCAGUGGGGAAUAUUGCACAAUGGGCGCAAGCCGGAUGCAGCCAUGCCGCGUGUAUGAAGAAGGCCUUCGGGUUGUAAAGUACUUUCAGCGGGGAGGCGUUACCCGCAGAAGAAGCACCGGCUAACUCCGUGCCAGCAGCCGCGGUAAUAC
rnacentral:rRNA from 1 species